UAACUAAACUAGCUUGGUGGUGUGGCUCUGCACUGUCUGUUUAUCAAUGUCUAUCUCACUGAGAUGUACCUACUCCGGGCUGGGGUGGCGGGCUAUAUAUAUACAUAUAUACACAUUAAACACAUUCAGCUGUGCAUCAAGGGCGAAACGCUCGCUCUGUCCACGUCACCCAAUCUUUACUGUAGGUAAAACCUAGCGAUGUUGGAGAUAAAAAGGCAAUUCUUCCUGACGAAGGCUCCUUCCUCCUUUUCCUCCCGCCGCCACUGCUCCAUCUCCUCCCCGUCUUCUCCUCGUCUCGUCUACUCCGCGGCUCCGUCGCCUUCGCCUCCCCUCCCACCUCAGCGCCGCUGCCUCCGUCUGCUCCGCCUCGCUCUCCUCCGUCCCUCAGCGCGCCACGCCGUCUCCACAGGGUUCAACCUCCACCGGAGCCGAUCUCUCCGCUGAGCACGCCCCGCGCCGCCGUUGCUGCCGAGGGCUCCUCGGUGCCGCUGCAGCCGGGGAGGCGGCCUGCGGGAGGGCCCUAAAUGUGGCCGAUGACUCAAUCCGCGGUCGCAUGUGGCGGCGGCCAGCCCAGCUCCGCCUCUUCCAGCCCAUCUUCCUGGGCAUCAUUGGUAGUGAAGAAGGACUCUUGCAGCUGCGAAAUAUUAGCAGAGGAAAAUCUAUAUGGUUUGAAGGGUUCAGAUUCAUAAUCUGAUAGUAUUAGGACCCUUGAUCCUUCAACCAUUAUGAGAUUUCAAGGCAGAUAGUGCAUCUUGUACUGUUUACCUUGAUUUAGUGAAUGCCUUCUGUAGCUUAAGGUUUAAUUAGCUGACUACUAAUGCUUUGGUAAUCUCCUUUCUGAAUUCCUUACUUGGUAAACAAUGUUCCUCACCCGGUCACCCCAAACUGGUGGAAUAUAAGAAGAAUCAGAACUGGGUCACAAUGUCUGGCGAUUAUCUUGUUUUCUGUUGAGGCGGAACUCAAUUCAAAUAUGGUGGUGCAAGAUACAUACAGUUUGUACAAUAGGUAGAUAUUACUAUGCCACCUUUAUCUACAUUUGAACAUAUUAACUUUGCAAGAAAAUUCCAAGUACUUUUAUUGCCAAGUAAGUUCUGUGUACUUGUGAAUCGAGAUGCUUCUUGUGUGUAUGUUUGCCAAUGUUCAGUAUUUCCUUCGGUAACAUUGAGACUUUAGGAGUGAAUAUACACGUUGUGCAAUCACAUCCAACAGUAAUAACACCAGUAGCAAAAUAAAACUAUUUUAUUUGUUUCAGCUGAGAUCCUAAACUAUAUUAAUAUGUUAUAUAGCCAGCUUCAUGUUAACAUCUUCCUGCUUUUUCUUGCGGUGAAGUCAAAUUUAUUAUCAAGUUCUGGAUACAAUCAGCCUUUUGUUAGUUUCACGUUGUUAGUAUGGCCCUGUUUUAACUAGCAGAAUUCAGAAAAACGUACUAAUUAAUGCACACAAGAAGAGGGGAUAAAAGAGGAUGCUGGUGAUGUGGAUUAUAACAUUUUCCCCUGCUCAUAUGGAAACAAUGUUGAGGAUACCACCCUCCCUGCCCAAAUUUUAUGUGCAGUUUUCUCACUUAUUCUCUAAAAAAUUUGCCACUUAAAUCUAAUUUAAUUUAAGCAAUUCAAUCUAUGCUUUUUCCUAGGUGCUACGUGACUUCACUGGUCGCAUUAUUGACUGAGAUUUCGAGUACGAAAACUUCACAAAAAAAUGGUUGGCUUGCUAUCGUCUUGACGAUCUUGAAUUUCAGUUUGUUCUUUGGAUUUACGGUUUCAAAUUUUAUCCCACUUGAUUUCCAGUUUGAACUUUGGUCGAAGAACUUGGUUAUUCUUGUUCUGAUUGUUGACACAUGUACUUAAUUGACUACAAGCAUAUCAUUCAUAUGACCGAUACAAUACAUUGCCUUGCUUCAGUCUGUUGGAAGAGGGAUAGGUGUGCCUUAAUGCAGACUGUAUAUGCAUCCUUGGUGGAACAAUGUAUGCAUGUAGUGAUGCAACUACGUGCACAAAUCUGGGAGAACAUGCAUUAUUUCUCCCCUUUCUAGCAAUUUACCACCACAUAGAGGUUGUUCCAGACAUGUGUUUUUCCUAGAUCCAUGUGAUGUUCCUUUCUUUUUCUCCCUGACUUGUUUAUGGGCUUCUAGAGAAAUUUUUUCAAGGAAUUAUUUUCAAAGGAUCUAUUCUAAAGAAAUAUUUUUUGUACUGCUGGAUAGGCACAAAAAAUCCUGUGCCACAAAGGUAGUGUCCAUGGCAUGUUGAUGGCUAGCUAUACUGCGUGUAAACAACAGGAAUUCAAUCAAUUUUUUCUCUUUUCUAGAAAGUUAAGAACAAUAUCCAGUGUGAUUCUCUUCUUAUGUACCAGCUUCGCUGUGGAGCUCCAAGGCUGCUACUAUAACUUCUUGCGCCAUUAUUUGGCAACCUACUGUUGCGGUCUCUAGAGGUGACACCAUUAGUAUGGGUCAGUUGCAUUGGUGACGCUGAGCACAAAGCUGUGAAUCCACUGCCUUUUGCUCUAUAUUGUGUAUGUCUCUCCAACCGUAAGCUCUCCUUAUUAUUUUAGUAGUUGGAUAUAAUGUCAAAUCAUUUACAAUCAUUGUGUGUAACUACAAUCUGAUGCAGAGAGUUCUGGUUUCUCAUAAUUCAUCCAGUAUAUGUUUGUUUUCAAAGCAAAGAAAUUGGAAAGUCAUACAAGAGAAGCAUAAAUGACAUGUCUUGAAAAUUGUAUGAGGUUCAAUCUUGAUAUAGUUUUGGACUGAAUAUUUCUCACUUCGAGGAAUGUGUUUUUGCUGAAUGUUUUUUUCCAGUGCCCCAACGAUUUUAUUCCCUGGUACCGCAUGGACUGAGAUCAGGUUUUUAUUCCAAAAAUAUAUUUAAUUUACUAUGAGGUCAUUUGACAGAGAGAAAUGUUCUCUGUAUAGUGGAUACAAGCACUCAUGAUAGACCCUUUAUGUAUCGCCACUGACAUAUAUCUUUUCUCCAAAGAAGAAUAUAUUUGUGGACUAAUUCAUGUUAUCAGGUUGAUGUAUCAGUUUUAUGUAUCACCGGUGACACAAUGUUACUGAUAAUACUUGUCUUGAGAGUUAUAUCAGAUUGCAGCCAUCCUUUGAAAUUGACAUGGCAUUUUUUACACCCAGGGUUAAUUCAUGUUAUCUUUCUAUUUGCUUCUAAUCCUAAAUAUUUCUCAUCCAUACACGAUUAUGUAUCUAUAGGUUUGGUUGUGGCGUCAACUGGCUAUCUCGACAACAUUGAUGCUGAAGUUAGCGACCCUCCAAAGAAUGGGAUGUUAGAUGUCAUAGAACUUGUCUGUCAUGUUAUCAAGCAUUCACAGAAUCCAAAUGUCAUAGUUUCUAGAAAUGGGCAUGAGCUAUUGGAAUCUCCCAUGUGUUUAGAUCCCAUGUAUCCUCCAAUUCAUCAGGUUUUUGGCUUUCUAUGUGUAUGCCGAUAUAUGAGAAUACCCAGUUGCAAAAGAACAUGACAUUGCCAACCAAGUUAACCACCCGAUGCAUCAGGCCUACCUCCGACUAGCACCUUGCAAACAUUUUGAACUUACAGAUUGCACGCUCUCCUUUUUCAUUUUCAAUGUUGUCUAGACUAUUCCUUGUCAAUUGAUUCUACAGGGAGGGCUGAUAUCUCAUUAUUUAGAAUUUACACUACAAAUCCUUAAGCUCAGAAAGAAAGUUAUGAAUGUGUCUAGAGGCUCUUUUACUAUUGUCACAUUUGUGCAUACCGUUCUCCAAUGGCCAUGCCAUUUGUUCUGAAUGCAAGCCAAGGGUUCAUAAUUGUCGUCCAACUAGCAGGAGUGAAUUGGGUAACAUAAUAUGCCUUGCUUUGGAGAAGGUUGGCGCCUCUCUAGAGGUUUUGUUCAAGUUCCAGAACUUUGGAUGCUUGGGAAUAUAUCCUUAUUAUUGCAAGUUGAAACAUGAAUCAGAGUGCCAAUACAUACCAUAUACUGGCCCAAAUGCAGGUUCUGAAUGCACUAUCGAUGGUGACAUCCCAUAUCAAAUUUCAGAGUGUUCUUUGAACUAAUUCUGUUUGAUCUUUCUAUAGGUUUUAGAUUUUUGUGGAUUUAUGUGAUUGAAUCUUGAUAUGUCGGGAAUGCGUCGAGAAAAUGCAACAUGACUUGAUGUUUGAAGUUACAACCUUACAGGGGCAUCGACUCAAAUUUGCAACGACGAAUUUUAUACCAUGCUUGUGUAGCUCGGUCUGGUAAUUUUCUUUCUCGAACAUAUAAACAGAUUUAGUCCUGUAUCUUGCUUUGACACUAAGUAAUUCUUUAUAAAAAAUCUUAAAACUUGAAAUUUGUGUGUUUAUUAGUGUACUAUUGGCCUGCGUAUCUAAAUAAAAUAGCAGUGCAUAUGACCAUAAUUAUGCAGAUUCUUGAGACUUAAAAACUCAACCAUGAUUCCAUGUUUAGGGAUGCAAUGAUUCAGUUUGGACAUCCAAUAUCAGCUGGGUUGAGGUUCUGGAUGUUUUUAGAUAGGUAGCUGUACCAAAUGCAAAAUUCUCACCUCAGUGAACUACUGUUCAGUAUGUGACUGACUGAACUGAAUAAGAUCACCUAUAUAUAUCUCUGAACUAAAAUACACUUAAUUUCUAUUCUUGCUUGACGCCCCGCCUCAACCCAUUUCCUUCCCUUGGCCACCGCUCCACCCACCCGCUCUGCCCCAUUUCUAUGCGAAACCAUAGAGAUGGUGGCCGCUGAUUGAUGUGGCCCUGGCGGUAGCGACAACGGCUUCAAGCAGGAAUACUAGGAGAAAGGAAGACGGGCAUAGAUCCAUGCGGAGCAUGAGGCGGGGAGCUAGAAUAGAUCGACACCAGGGCGUGAGGACCACCUCGUCAUUCUCAAACAAUGCCAGUACACCAUGUCAGUAUAGUAUCAUGUUCAUGUCAGAAUCUAAGAGAUUUAGGAACAUAGGAAGUAGAUGGUAAUUAUGGACGUUGGAGAGGAGUAAAUUUGAUCACAUAUACUAUAUAGGGACUUCGUAGAUGCGUUCUAGCAGCAGAAGCACAAAACCCUGUAUGGAGAAAAUUCACUUUUAUUGAAGUACUGACAUGAAUAUGACAGUACAGUGUUGAUCAGUAGUGGUGGGCGAGGCGUGGGAGGUGACGAUGACGAAUGAUACGGUGGUCAGUAGAUAAAAGGUAAGUGCCGCCGCCGUUUGGUCCCUCUCCUCUCCUUGCUUCUGCCUCUUCCUAUAUUCAUGUUUUGUGUUCUUGCCUUGUUGGAAGCCGUUCAUUUCCACUGCCCAGCGGGGGCAUCUUCGAGGACUAAUCUGGCAUCAGGCGUUAUAGUAGGAGACACGGCUCUCAUGGAUUAGGAUGUUGCACAUCAUUGACGGGUCAUUCCAUGGAUUAGGAUGUUGCACAUCAUUGACAGGUCGUUCCGCGCGCUGCUCUUGUUGAUUUGUUCUUGACAUAUCCUCUGUGGUGUUGUACUUUUUGAAUCAGUUGGUGGUUUAUAUUAGCAAGUCCUAUCAUUUUGUCACUUUUGAACCAUCGACUAUUGCUUUUGUGUUCAUACAAGCCUCUUAGUAUAUAUGAUGUCACUAUUAUUCUUUUAA